UAGGGAAUAUUGGACAAUGGACGAAAGUCUGAUCCAGCCAUGCCGCGUGAGUGACGAAGGUCUUCGGAUUGUAAAACUCUUUUAUGAGGGAAGCGGUACCUCAGGAAUAAGGGACGGCUAACUCCGUGCCAGCAGCCGCGGUAAUACGGAGGUCCCGAGCGUUGUUCGGAAUUACUGGGCGUAAAGGGGGCGCAGGCGGACAGGUCAGUGGAAAGUGGAAGCCCGGGGCUCAACCCCGGAAAGCCUUUCCAUACUGCCUGUCUUGAGUUCGUGAGAGGAGAGCGGAAUUCAGGGUGUAGCGGUGAAAUGCUUAGAUAUCCUGAGGAACACCAAUGGCGAAAGCAGCUCUCUGGCGCGUUACUGACGCUGAGGCCCGAAAGCGUGGGGAGCGAACGGGAUUAGAUACCCGGGU
rnacentral:rRNA from 1 species